rnacentral:miRNA from 1 species
AGUGCUGGGAGAUGUUAUCACG